AACUCUCAGCAACGGAUAUCUUGGCUCGUACAACGAUGAAGAACGCUGCGAAGUGCGAUACGUAGUGUGAAUUGCAGAAUUC
rnacentral:rRNA from 10 species